rnacentral:lncRNA from 1 species
AUCGAUCGGAGUUUAAUUUUAAAAUCCAAAAAAUCCAAUACCCGAAAAUUGAUAUGUAUCUGAAUGCGUACAUGAAUGCCCACGUCUAACUAAUUAUAUAAACAAUUUUUUUUGUUAACCGGUUUGAAAAAUCAACUCUCAAUUUAUAUGUUUCAACAAACUUGUUUUCAUAUUACUAAAAAAAAAUCAAAGUUUUAUAUUUACGCAAUUAUAGCAUGUCUAGACGGUAUAUCUACUAUUCACUGGUUAUCAACAACAAAAAAAAUAAAAUAAAAAAAUGACUGAUUGAUGAUAGUAUUUG